UUCUUAGGUUAUACACCGAUUAACACUAUCCAUGGAAAACAAGCCCAGACCUUCUAAAAAUAGAGAAUAUAAUAUCGGGGACAUAAUUUCCUCUUACUUUAAGCCUAUUGGACAUUCAAAGAAGUCAAAAAUGUGCUUAAAAACAAAUAUGACCUACGUUGUAAAGGCAACCAAUUUAUAUAACAAAAGCAACCUAUUUAUCAAUUAUUUACCAGUAUUAAUAAAUAAUCAAUUUUGUAAGUAAAACAAAUGUCAGGGCCAACAACACUCGGAGUUCUAAUCUUGGGAGAUAAAUGCCAUUAUAUUUUUCAAUGUUGAUUACACUAAAUACAUUCAUAUUUUCUUCCAACGUCUGCAUAUUCUGAGCUUCUAUCAAUUACAGUUUUUAGACUGUCGGCUGCAAGCCGACAGUCUUUAGAGAGCGGUAUUUCAGAAACGCGACUAGUCGCCUGACACGACAUAUUGAACAUGAAUAUAUUAAUACACACCACCUGCGUAGCAACAGAACUACUUACGUGAAUGUGGGGCGUCAAGUACCUGCUUAUGUGUAUUUAACGCGUUAUUGCCUUUUUUAUGACAAACAUUGCGUGUUACUCUUAGUAUAGUUGUACCGUUGCAAUUUGGUGAGUUUUAUUGAACAAAAUAAUGAAAAAUAAUGAAAGUAUAGCAUUUACAUACGAAGUCAUUUUACCCUACAUCCAAUAGUAAGCUACACCACAUGUUUGCACCCCGUGUGACGUCACACAUAUCCCGGCAUUCAAGACUGACCCGGCAAACCCCGGCAAAGAACUUAUUUUAUGAAUGAAAGCUAUUAAGAAAUAAAUCAUACGCGGUUAAAGAGUUCAUGUCAUGUAAAAUUUUGUGAAAUAGCUUUUAUGUUUGAAAUGAUUUUUUUUCAGCAGCAAUCGAACUAUUGUAUUUGUUUGAGUAAAUUAUUUGGAUUAUACCUAUCACCAUGGACCUAUAAACCAUGCUUUAUAGGUCCGUGCUAUCACAGUGUGUCAACGUUAUGCCUAUUGUUAUUUUGGACUAUAGGGUGUAGUUUUUAAAGUCAUACACAAUAUGGCGGCGAUUAUGCGGAAAUGAAAUUGAAUGUUACUUCGAACACGUUCUUCUACAAAAUAACCGACCUGUAUUUAGUGCUAUUGCUUUAACAUCAAUCGAAGCAAAAAUGGCAUCAAUAUAUGCGUCUAAAAAUGUUAAAUUUAGAUGGAGACAAUCCAGAAAUGAGCUGCCAGGGAGUGAUCGAUUUCGGACACGAAGAUUGAGAAGUGCCUGGAUACAAGGCUAGUAUUGUUAACAUCAUCUGAUAAAAUCAACUGGAACAAAGCUGAAAUGGCUGCCUGACCUGACUUAAAAAUUAUAUGGCAGUACAUCAGACUAGAAGAUUACAAGUAUUGAGGUGGACAAAAUGAAACCUGAGCCUACCAAAGCUGACAUAUUGCACAAGAAACACAUAAAUGCAGAUUGGAAGAUUCAUUCUCUGGAGAGUAGAAAAGGGCAUGUUACAUACUGUUAUCACUGCCAUGACAGAAACCAUAUUGAGGAGCUGGUCCACCUGUAGGAAGAAUUGUGCUAUUGGUUGGAGCAGCACUAUUACCCAGCCAUACACCAGCACUUAGUUUGUCAUAGGGAGCAUUUCUGAGCAGUUAUGGAGACCACUAACUAUGCAGUUGUUGCAGUGAAACUUGCACCAGUGUGUUUUCUGUGGAGAUAAAGAGAUAGUGUCCAGCAAUGAAGACCCAACUCAAGAUCUGACCUUGUAAGGCCAAUAUGAAAUAACUGUGUGGGAAAAUGGGAAAAACCUGCAGUCAGGAAUGCACGGAAAUCAUCAAAAGAACAGUGUUAAAUUAAUCGUGAAUAACUUGACAUUUAUUUUGUUUGACAUAUUUAUUCAUGGUGUAGUGAAAACAUUCUUUUUUUCUCAUGGUUAUUUAAAUUUAGAAUUGAUAGGAGGGAACAUCACUAUGUAGUUUCAUGUUCAUAGUCAGAUCAAAACCCAUGUACUUGCCCAAAUGAGCAUUCGAAAAUAUCAAAAUGGUACUUGUUGUAUGUAGUGUAAGUUAAUUAACAUAAUAAACAAAAAUAUUUAA